rnacentral:antisense_RNA from 1 species
AUUUUGCCCAGCUUUCUGUCUGGGGCCCACGGAGCAAUCGGAAGAGGGGACCGAGCGCCCACCCCAGGACUCCCACAGCCAGUACCCUCUCUGGGACCUUGCCCAAGCUCAAAGAGGAGGCCAGUGAGCAGGCGGCAAGGGGGCGCCCGGGCCAUCCCGAACCCGUUCCCUGCCUUCUGCACCAUCGCCCUCCGGGACCGGGGCUCUCCCGGGUUGCCCUCGCCCCCUGGGCCUGCCUCCCGUGAUGAAAAUACGAGUUCUCCGAUCGCGUUGGACCGGAGCGGGCCACGUCCGAGCUGCUUGCAGAGGGAAACCAUUGGAAAUAAUGAAUAGCCGCUCCAUGCAAAUUAUUCAGACGGUUUAGCAUCGGUAGCCGCGAGAAAUAUAUAAAGAACACGAGUCAAAUGACAUUAA